rnacentral:rRNA from 1 species
GCCAUUGAGCGCAUCACCCGGAAUGUGUCCGAUCUUGUUAGCACCUGGAAGCUAAGCAGGAUUGGGUCUCAAUAGUGCUUGGAUGGGUGACCGCUAUGCACAACAGAUUGCUAUAGGCU